rnacentral:ribozyme from 1 species
AAAUACUCCUUGCUCUUUGCCAUUGUGGUCUAAAGUGCAACCGAAAACAAGCAAAAGGAGUCAAUCUAUUUAGAGAGCUAGCUUUGUUGUUGGGAAG